UACGAAGGGGGCUAGCGUUGCUCGGAAUCACUGGGCGUAAAGCGCACGUAGGCGGCUUUCUAAGUCAGGGGUGAAAUCCUGGAGCUCAACUCCAGAACUGCCUUUGAUACUGGGAAGCUCGAGUCCGGAAGAGGUAAGUGGAACUCCGAGUGUAGAGGUGAAAUUCGUAGAUAUUCGGAAGAACACCAGUGGCGAAGGCGGCUUACUGGUCCGGUACUGACGCUGAGGUGCGAAAGCGUGGGGAGCAAACAGG
rnacentral:rRNA from 1 species